UUGGACAUUAGGAAAAGUUCUAACAUCAGGUGUUAAACACUGGAAUAAAUUGCUAUGGAGUUGUAGAAUCUUCAUCUCUGGAAAUAUUAAGAGUGCUAGAUAAAUGUCAUCAGGAAUGGUCGAGACAGA